AGAAGUUUGAGCAAGAUGGAGGCCCGCAGACAGCUUCCCUUCAGAUUGGUCACAAGACUACCAAGGAUGAAUACACUUCAAAGGAAUGCAAAAAGUCAGUGAGGAGUACCGGGUUCCCAUUACCACUCCACUUUGAUUUGAAGAGGUUUCACCUAAGACUGUUCCUGUAUGAAUUUCAGAAAAAAAAAAGAUGAAAAGAAGAUAAAAGUAAUAUUCCUACCAUUACUACGAUGACUACUACUACUAAAUUACUACUACUACUGUUACUGCUUCCAAGGCAAUAAAAGAUUUCAAAAUAGAGACACCUAGAGGAAGAAAUUAAAACUGUGUGAGUUGAAGAGAAUGUGUGAUAACUUUGAUGUCCUCUCUACUACUGGAGUUUGACCAAGGACCCUUUCAUUGAGUCUCAAGAAAAUAAAUAUUCCUGUUAAAUUGCAAAAAAAAGUCAUUUUAUGCACACC